GGCGUGGCCUGUGGGAGCGCGGCGGCUCCGGAGGCCGCGGGUCGCUGUGAGGCCUGGGGAACAAUCAAGUGCGUUAUUGGCUAAGCUACAGACCCAGCACUGGGUAUUGUCUGCAAGUUGGUGUGAUUGCUGUGCCCAUGACAGAGGGUCAGAACGGAAGCAGGAGGGAGACGUGGCCAGGUAAAGCUGCUGCGUGCAGUGCCGGCAUCCAUUAUGGCCACCAGUUCGAAUCCUGACUGCUCCAGUUCCCAUCCAACUCUCUGCUAUACCCUGGGAACGCAGUAGAAGAUGGCCCAAGUCCUUGGGCCCCUGCACCCACAUGGGAGACCUUUAAGAAGCUCCUGGCUCCUGGCUCCUGGCUUUAGAUCAGCCCAGCUCCGGCUGUUGCAGUCAUCUGGGGAGUGAACCAGUGGAUGGAAGGCCUCUCUCUCUCUCCACCUCUGUAGGACAUGAACAUGGGUGAAGCAAGAUUAAAUUCAUUAAAUGAUUGUUUAAUAAAUGGCAGAAGUGAAAACCAAUCACUUAGCAAAAGAAACAUAAAUCUUAGUCAACAAAACUGCCAAACGACUGUUUUAAAAUUUACCGUAAAUGAAAGAAGUUGAAAAUAUUUCCAUUUGAUUAUUGUUUAUGGGGCUAGCCUAUUGUCCAGCUGAACUAUGAUUUUUGUACUUUUUAUUAGUUGAUUUUCUUUGGUGGAGCACUAAGUCUUUGAUUAUAAUAUAAAUUGAAAAUAUAUUAUCUCAAAAAUGCAAAACAAUAAGUUAAAACUAAAACUGCCAAGAGAGAUAAACAUCUUGCUCAUGGUCACAGAUUAGUGACUGAGUUGGAACUGGAGUCAGGUCAGGCCGCCUGCAAAGCCCACGCUAUAAGCUUUUGUGUUGAGCCAUGCUGUUUAAGGGUGGCUCCAGGGACACAGGUUACAUUUCCAGGGCAGAGCACAGCAGGCACGUGCAGACAGUGAGGUUGGCUUUACUGCCAGAAAAAUGAGGAGAGCCCGUGAGGACACCCAUGAGAGUGCAGACAGGGCAGCUGGGCUUCCUGAGUUUCCUCCCUGUGACCCCAGGGCAGGGACUUAACUCUGUCCAAUUGACUUAUCCAACGCUAACCUGAACCAGAACACUAACCCUAACCAGAACCCUAACCCCUAACCCCAACACAAACACUAAACCCUAACCCUAACACCUAAGCCUAACCCUAACCCUAACCCUGACCCUGAUCCUGACCCUGACCUUGACCCUAACCCUGACCCUAGCCCUAACCCUAAUAAUGACCCUGACCCUGACCCUAACCCUAACCCUAAGCCUAACAUAACCCUAAUUCUAACCCUAACCCUAACCCUAAUUCUAACCCUAACCCUAAACCAACCCCAACCCUAACCCCCAACCCCAACCCUAGCCCAAACCCUAACCCUAACCCUACCCUAACCCUAAUCCCUAGCCCUAACCCUAACCCUAACCCUCUAACCCUAACCCUAACCCUCUAACGUUAACACUAACCCUAACCCUCUAACCCUAACCCUAACCCUCUAACCCUAACCCUAACCCUAACCCUCUAACCCUAACCCUAACCCUCUAACCCUAACCCUAACCCUAAGUGCUUGGGCCCCUGCACCCUCAUGGGAGACCAGGAAGAAGCUCCUGGCUCCUGGCUUCAGAUCUGCACAGCUCCAGCUAUUGCGGCCAUUUCGGGAGGGAACCAAUGGAAGGACGGUCUCUCUGUCUCUGUCUCUCUCACUGUCUGUUACUCUACCUGUCAAACGAAUAUAUAAAAAAAAGUUGUUU